rnacentral:rRNA from 1 species
UGAGGAAUAUUGGUCAAUGGGCGCGAGCCUGAACCAGCCAAGUAGCGUGAAGGAUGAAGGUCCUAUGGAUUGUAAACUUCUUUUAUAGCAGAAUAAAGUGACCCACGUGUGGGUUUUUGUAUGUAUGCUAUGAAUAAGGAUCGGCUAACUCCGUGCCAGCAGCCGCGGUAAUACGGAGGAUCCGAGCGUUAUCCGGAUGUAUUGGGUUUAAAGGGUGCGUAGGCGGAAAGAUAAGUCAGCCUGUGAAAGUUUGCGGCUCAACCGUAAAAUUGCAGUUGGUACUGUUUUUCUUGAGUGUACAUAAGGUAGGCGGAAUUCGUGGUGUAGCGGUGAAAUGCUUAGAUAGCACGAAGAACUCCGAUUGCGAAGGCAGCUUACCGGGGUACAACUGACGCUGAUGCACGAAAGUGUGGGUAUCAAACA